GUUUGCACCUGAGUCAGGAUGACGCUAGCGGGAGGCUUAAUACAUGCAAGUCGAGCGGUAAGGUCUUCGGACCCUACUCCGGCGAGGGUGAGUAACGCGUACGUAACCUACCUUUAAGAGAGGAAUAGCCCUGGGAAACUGGGAGUAAUACCUCAUAGUAUUUAUUAACCGCAUGGUUGAUAGAUUAAAGCUGAGGCGCUUAAAGAUGGUCGUGCGUCUGAUUAGCUUGUUGGUAGGGUAACGGCCUACCAAGGCUACGAUCAGUAGGGGGCGUGAGAGCGUGGCCCCCCACACGGGUACUGAGACACGGACCCGACUCCUACGGGAGGCAGCAGUAAGGAAUAUUGGGCAAUGGACGCAAGUCUGACCCAGCCAUCCCGCGUGCAGGACGAAUGCCCUAUGGGUUGUAAACUGCUUAGUGGGAAGAAAUGUAUUCUUUUAAGAGUAUUUGACGGUACCAGACGAAUAAGCACCGGCUAACUCCGUGCCAGCAGCCGCGGUAAUACGGAGACAGCAAGCGUUAUCCGGAAUCACUGGGUUUAAAGGGUGCGUAGGCGGCCAGAUAAGUCAGAGGUGAAAGUUUCCGGCUCAACCGGGAGAUUGCCUUUGAUACUGUUUGGCUUGAAUCAGAUUGAGGUUGGCGGAAUGUGACAUGUAGCGGUGAAAUGCAUAGAUAUGUCAUAGAACAUCGAUUGCGAAGGCAGCUGGCUGGAUCUGUAUUGACGAAUAGGCACGAAAGCGUGGAGCAAACAGGAUUAGAUACCCUGGUAGUCCACGCCCUAAACGAUGUUUACUCGACAUGGGAUCUACGGAUUCUGUGUCCAAGCGAAAGCGUUAAGUAAACCACCUGGGGAGUGCGUUCGCAAGAAUGAAACUCAAAGGAAUUGACGGGGUCCGCACAAGCGGUGGAGCAUGUGGUUUAAUUCGAUGAUACGCGAGGAACCUUACCUGGGCUAGAUCGCGAGUGCCUGUGUGUGAAAGCAUACAUUCCUUCGGGACACAACAAGGUGCUGCAUGGCUCGUCAGCUCGUGCCGUGAGGUGUUGGGUACAGCCCGCAACGAGCGCAAGUCCUAUCUUCAGUUGCCAGCAUGUAAGGUGGGGACUCUGAAGUCCCUGCCGGCGUAAGCCGCGUGGAAGGUGGGGAUGAUGUCAAGUCAUCAUGGCCUAUGCCCAGGGCUACACACGUGCUACAAUGGCCGGUACAACGGGUCGCGAAGCUGUGAUAGGGAGCCAAUCCUAUAAAGCCGGUCUCAGUUCGGAUUGGAGUCUGGAACUCGACUCCAUGAAGGUGGAAUCGCUAGUAAUCGCGCAUCAGCCAUGGCGCGGUGAAUACGUUCCCGGACCUUGUACACACCGCCCGUCAAGCCAUGGGAGCUGGCGUACCUGAAGAUGGUGACUUUACUGGGAGCUAUCUAAGGUAAAACUAGUGACUGGGGCUAAGUCGUAACAAGGUUUAG
rnacentral:rRNA from 1 species